CCUACGGGUGGCAGCAGUGAGGAAUAUUGGUCAAUGGGCGAGAGCCUGAACCAGCCAAGUCGCGUGAGGGAAGACGGUCCUAUGGAUUGUAAACCUCUUUUGUCGGGGAGCAAAAAGGCCUCGUGAGGCCACAAGUGAGAGUACCCGAAGAAAAAGCAUCGGCUAACUCCGUGCCAGCAGCCGCGGUAAUACGGAGGAUGCGAGCGUUAUCCGGAUUUAUUGGGUUUAAAGGGUGCGUAGGCGGACUGGAAAGUCAGCGGUAAAAUCGAGAGGCUCAACCUCUUUCCGCCGUUGAAACUGGCGGGCUUGAGUGGGCGAGAAGUAUGGGGAAUGCGUGGUGUAGCGGUGAAAUGCAUAGAUAUCACGAAGAACUCCGAUUGCGAAGGCAGCAUACCGGCGCCCGACUGACGCUGAGGCACGAAAGCGUGGGUAUCGAACAGGAUUAGAUUC
rnacentral:rRNA from 1 species